rnacentral:lncRNA from 1 species
ACGUUAUGUGAAUUUCACUUUAAUUACAAAAAGAGAAACGCUAGCGUUUACGCAGGCGGAGGGCAGGCUGGACUGGGGACGCUCCUCCCGGCCGCCUCGUUGCUGGCAGCGCUUCCGCCCGCCGGCGCACCAGUCAGUACCGCGCCCGGCGAAUGUGGAGGGCGAAGCUGCGGCAGGGCAAUCACAAAAGGGCUGUCAGAGAGGAGGCGAGGCGGGAGGAAGAUGGAGAGGCGGGUGGGAGCCUCACCUUUGGACUCUAUCGCCACAGCCCGGUCUAGCCGCUACGCCCGAGCUCAAGUCUGACUCGAAACUCCGCUGGGUGCCUGAGAGGACCCGGCAGGCCAAGGGGUGGAACUGAGGGGGCGGGGACGCGGCGGGCGGGUGGGGCCGCCUCCCGGCUGGGCACGCCUCCAAGCCAGACUGGACGCGAAGGAAACCGGAACCUGUCUGCCUACGGUGCCUGUUUCCGGAAGCAGCUUGAGUCCGGACACCAACGACGGGGACGCUGGGAAGCCGACUUCCGGCGCCCUAUUUUCUCACCUGGUUCCCGCGGCGAGCCAGCGGCAGCGGCGGCGGCGAUGAGACAGAAGCACUACCUUGAGGCUGCAGCGCGGGGACUGCACGACAGCUGCCCGGGCCAAGCCCGCUACCUCCUGUAAGAGGACUGGAGGGGAAGCGGGAGGCGAGCGGGUAGGUGUUCCUUUGCUCCUCACAAGUCUCUUUCUCUUUUACAGCUGGGCCUACACUUCGUCGCACGGUAAGAAGAACGCCUGUCUCUUGUGCUUUGGGCUCUUGUCGCCCCGCUUUCCUCUGUUCCGCACAACGCUCAAAUAAGGCCGAUGGACUCACUUCCCUCCAUAAAAACAACAACAACAAAGCCCGCAUGUGUCUCGGUUUCGUGAAAAAUCCAAAUUCUUUAAUGUGCCUUGUCUUGCUUUGUUAGCGGCAUUUGACACAUUGAUCAGUCUUGAAAUAGUUUCCUCCCUUGGCUUCUAGGUCAUUACGUAGUUCACCUCUUCAUUUAUUACUUCUCGAUUUGCUUUGCUGGUUCCUCCUAAUCUCCCCAAGCUUUAAGUAUUGUCGUGGCCCAGUACUCAGCCCUUGGACCUCUUUUCUAGGCACACUCGCUUCCUUGGUGACAGUUUUUCAUCCAAUCUCAUGGCUUUUAAAUACCAUAUACUGAGGACUUACAAAUGUAUAUACUCAGCGCAGACCUCUCCUCUGAAUUCUAGACUCAUAUAUCCGAAUGUCUUCUUGACAAAUUCUUUUCAAUGUCUAGUAAUUCAAACUUAGCUAAUAUGUCCAAAACCUGAGCUUUAACCCCCAACAAGAUCCUCCAGUUUUUCUCAUUUCAGUAAAUAAUUCCAUUCUUCCCUUACAGUUAUUGAGCCCAAAAACCUUGGAGCUAUUCUUGACUCCCUAACUCUCUCUCCUCCCCCAGGCCAGUAUGCGAGCAAAUCCUGUUGGCUUUAAAAUGUAGCCAAAAUCAGCCAGGAGCGGUGGCUCACCCCUGUAAUCCCAGCACUUUGAGAUGCAGAGGCGGGCGGAUCAUUUGAGGCCAGGAGUUCGAGACCAACCUGGCCAACAUGGCGAAACGCUGUCUCUACUAAAAAUACAAAAAAAUUACCUGGCAUGGUGGUGCACGCCUGUAAUCCCAGCUACUCGAGAGGGUGAGGCAUGAGAAUCUCUUGAACCCGGGAGGUGGAGGUUGCAGUGAGCGGAGAUGGCGCCAUUGCACUCCACUCCUCACCACAUCCAUUGCUACU